rnacentral:rRNA from 1 species
UACGGGGGGGGUAAGCGUUGUUCGGAAUUACUGGGCGUAAAGGGCUCGUAGGCGGCCAACUAAGUCAGACGUGAAAUCCCUCAGCUUAACUGGGGAACUGCGUCUGAUACUGGAUGGCUUGGAUUCGGGAGAGGAAUGCGGAAUUCCAGGUGUAGCGGUGAAAUGCGUAGAUAUCUGGAGGAACACCGGUGGCGAAGGCGGCAUUCUGGACCGACAUUGACGCUGAGGAGCGAAAGCCAGGGGAGCAGACGGG